UCACUGUUGUCAGCUGUCACUUACGCGUCGUGAGAAAUUUACUUUCGAUGGUUUAAUAAGCGAAGAUCUUUUCAUAGCUAUUGAUUUUAUCAUCUUUGACGAUCGAGUCAAAUUUGAAUAUAUCAGACGAAUUGUUUGCACGGUCGUAACUGUGCUAUUUAUAUUGAUGUUAUAGAAUGAAAAAUGGAUUCGCAUGUUCUGCAUUUUUUCACUAUAAUCGCAGACCACCUGCAAACCUUUUUGGUACGGGCUCUCGGCUAAAGAUUGUGCAAGUUUCAUCGCCUCGAUGCAAUGCUUCCGCGCCAAAAAUUUCGUUUGGUCCAGGCCCUGCGACUUGUGCACCAGCUCGAACGCUUUCUCCACGUCUCCUGGCUCUUGAAAUCGGCGCAUGAUCAUCGCGUUCAAUUCUGGAUACUGUGACAGAAAAACGAAGGCGAAAAGAACUGGAGCAGUUGCAAGACCUAACUUCAAAUCUGCUGCGGUAGGUUUGCCCAUUGUUGACAAAGACGACACGAAAUCCAAAAGAUCGUCGACUAAUUGAAAUGCUAAACCGAUGUUCCUACCGUAUUGGAAGGCUAAUUCGACCAACUGUUCAUCACCACCAGCUAGCAUAGUCACCUGUUCAAAAUACAUAAUUCUUCGUAUUAAAAACUUCGACCUGUGCGAAAGGAUUAAAUAUCAAGAUCAACAUGACAGUACAUACCGCCUUCAAGGAAUUAGCAACUAAGCUGGCUGUCUUGCGAUACGUUUUCGUGAGGUAAUGCGCGAAUCUCUCGUUUUCCGUCUCCUUAGAGCCAAGCUGCAUAAAUUCACCCUGCACCAGGUCCGUCACGACCUGGAAAGCACCUGGACUUGUCAAUACUUAUCAUCAGGGUUAUAUCAGGAUCCUAGAGCAUAUAUGGUUUGUGAACUUUACCUGACUGAGCGUGAGGGUGACAUCGUCAUUUUGCAGUUGAGCUAUCAUAAUUGACGCGACUGCCAGAACAUAAUCUCCUGUCAUGGUCACCUGAAAAUCGAGCAACAAAUAAUGGAAACAUACAUUAAGAUAUUUUUUCAGAGGAUAAGUUUGUUUAAGAUUAAGUAAAAUGAAAUGAUCCGAUCUUUCUCGUGGAAAGUAAUCCUGGCAUUUUAAUUGCUAAAAUGCGUAGUCGCUCAAUAAAGACAAUUAACGAAGAUAA